GCAUAUUGUCUGGUGUUUGUUGUUAUUGUGAGGGUGGGAGCAGUGCUUUUUAAAUCUUUCUACAUUGUAAGCAGAAGCUGGAAAUCUAGGUUCCUUUUUAUUCUUGAUAAGAAAUACUCAUUUAGAAUUAAAAGUAUUGAAUUUUCAAAACAGGUUUUAUGAAAAAUUUCAAACAUAUAUAAAAGUAGAGUAAGUCAUAAAAAGGAGUCUCGUGUACCUAUCAAACACUAACUCAUUUAAACAGUUACCAACUUAGGGCUGUCUAUACCCCCAUUGUUAGAAUAAGCUUUAUUAAGAAUUCGUUUGAACUCUGAGGGCGGAGGUUGCAGUGAGCCGAGAUUGUGCCACUGCACUCCAGCCUGGGUUACAGAGUGAGUCUCUGGAUGUUUAUAAGAUGUACACAUUUGUCAAAAUUCACCAAACUUCAUUUUAUUGUAUGGAAGCCACAUAUGUAAUGAAUAGAAUGAGACCGACUAGUUAUUAGACAAAAGGCAUAGCAGGGGCUGUGCCAAAGUGGAUAAUGCAUCCCUGUACCUUAAGGCAUUAAAGUAAAAGAAUUAAAACAACCUGCCUGCCAAACCAAAAUGUCUGUAGGCAAUAUUCAACUGGUUGACCAUCAUUAUGCAUCCAUUGACUUGUGACUUAAAAUAUAUACCACCAUUUAAAGCAGUUUCUCAAUGAGGAGUCAAGAAAUAUCUUG
rnacentral:lncRNA from 10 species